UACGGAGGGAGCUAGCGUUGUUCGGAAUUACUGGGCGUAAAGCGCACGUAGGCGGCUUUGUAAGUUAGAGGUGAAAGCCCGGGGCUCAACCCCGGAAUUGCCUUUAAGACUGCAUCGCUUGAAUCCGGGAGAGGUGAGUGGAAUUCCGAGUGUAGAGGUGAAAUUCGUAGAUAUUCGGAAGAACACCAGUGGCGAAGGCGGCUCACUGGACCGGCAUUGACGCCUG
rnacentral:rRNA from 1 species